rnacentral:rRNA from 1 species
GACGGGGGAUGCGAGCGUUAUCCGGAAUGAUUGGGCGUAAAGGGUCCGCAGGUGGCCCGGUCAGUCCGCUGUCAAAGCCUGGGGCUCAACCCUGGAGAGGCGGCGGAGACCACCGGGCUUGAGUCCGGUAGGGGCAGAGGGAAUUCCCGGUGUAGCGGUGAAAUGCGUAGAGAUCGGGAAGAACAUCGGUGGCGAAAGCGCUCUACUGGACGGUAUCUGACACUGAGGGACGAAAGCUAGGGGAGCGAAUGGG